rnacentral:miRNA from 2 species
ACUGGACUUGGAGUCAGG